rnacentral:lncRNA from 1 species
UUACUAGUUACAUUAAGAGUCGGACUCCGCUUUCACAUGUUGGAAUUCCAAUCUAUUUGCCAAGUUCAGUCCGUCUUUCAUAGCCAAAGCUUCCAUAGUCACAACAUCAGCUGUUAAUGAACUUACAUUGUGUUGCUAGGAACGUGUCCCUUUCAUCUUUGAUUAUUGCUGAAAUAGCAUCCAUUCCUUCUUCCUCAUAAAAAGCUACAUCCAAUCCACAUUUAACUUAAUGAAUGUUGGAUCAGGCCUUGUUCACUUUGAUUCAUGCUCAACUUUUCCCUUUGUGAACGCCUUGUGAUAAAAAGCUGUGUGGGGGGAGUUGAUCCCACAUGUUGUGUGUAGAAUCGCCAAUUGGAA